GCAGGGCGUGGUGGUGCGUGCCUGUAAUCCCAGCCACUUAGGAGGCUGAGGCAGGAAUAUCACCAAGUUCAAGUCCAGCCUCAG
rnacentral:sRNA from 1 species